rnacentral:rRNA from 1 species
GACCUCAAAUCAGGUAGGACUACCCGCUGAACUUAAGCAUAUCAAUAAGCGGAGGAAAAGAAACUAACAAGGAUUCCCCUAGUAACUGCGAGUGAAGCGGGAAAAGCUCAAAUUUAAAAUCUGGCAGUCUUUGAUUGUCCGAGUUGUAAUCUAGAGAAGUGUUAUCCGCGUUGGACCGUGUACAAGUCUCCUGGAAUGGAGCGUCAUAGAGGGUGAGAAUCCCGUCUUUGACACGGACUACCAGUGCUUUGUGAUGCGCUCUCAAAGAGUCGAGUUGUUUGGGAAUGCAGCUCAAAAUGGGUGGUAAAUUCCAUCUAAAGCUAAAUAUUGGCGAGAGACCGAUAGCGAACAAGUACCGUGAGGGAAAGAUGAAAAGAACUUUGGAAAGAGAGUUAAACAGUACGUGAAAUUGCUGAAAGGGAAACGCUUGAAGUCAGUCGCGUUGUCCGGGGAUCAACCUUGCUUUUGCUGGGUGUACUUUCCGGUUGACGGGUCAGCAUCAAUUUUGACCGUUGGAUAAAGUGUAGGGGAAUGUGGCAUCUUCGGAUGUGUUAUAGCCUCUGCUCGCAUACAACGGUUGGGAUUGAGGAACUCAGUACGCCGCAAGGCCGGGAAUUUAUUCCACGUUCGUACUUAGGAUGCUGGCAUAAUGGCUUUAAUCGACCCGUCUUGAAACACGGACCAAGGAGUCUAACAUGCCUGCGAGUGUUUGGGUGGAAAACCCGAGCGCGUAAUGAAAGUGAAAGUUGAGAUCCCUGUCGUGGGGAGCAUCGACGCCCGGACCAGACCUUUUGUGACGGAUCUGCGGUAGAGCAUGUAUGUUGGGACCCGAAAGAUGGUGAACUAUGCCUGAAUAGGGUGAAGCCAGAGGAAACUCUGGUGGAGGCUCGUAGCGAUUCUGACGUGCAAAUCGAUCGUCAAAUUUGGGUAUAGGGGCGAAAGACUAAUCGAACCAUCUAGUAGCUGGUUCCU